GUAAGAUACUAAUAAGUGGUGAAGCAACUGAACUGUGAGAUAGGAUUUGGGGUGUACCUGUGCAGAGUGAGCUAGAAUUUGGGGACAUUGGGGUCUUUUUGGUAUCACCACAUACUUGGCUCUGGACAUGAGGGGGUUAAUGAAUCUGUCCUGAGUAACCCAUUCAGCGCAAAUUUUCCAUUCAGUUUCUGAUUCUGAGCAGAGUCUCUGAGGAUGUUUGGGAUGAAGGAGCUUGUGCCUUCUGGCCAAAAUUUCCCACUCUAGUACUGUUCCUUUUGCUCAUUUCACUUGGCUGAUGUUUGCCUGAAAACUUCCUCCAACGACGCACUCUGUGAGAACUUCCUAGAUGAGGACUUGCUGCUCCAGAGGCUCUGAUAUGCUCUCCUGCAGUGGGGUACACAAGGCUGUUUUUCGGACACUGAGCUUUCUGAGCAUGAUUGAACAUUCAGCUCAAUCUAGUUCAAGGUCUCAGGCUGAAGGACACAGCUUCUACAUGGUGCGUGCUGUUCUCCUGGUGGCUGAAGGAGCAAGUGGAAACAUGCUAUGCCUCUUAAAGACUCUGAUUGUGAUGGAAAAGAAUAAUUUCCUGCACCGUGAAUCCAACUGUGCCAAGCCUUGGCUCCCGCGAACCAAUCCUGAGCGCGACCCGGGCACUGGGACGGCGACUCCGCCAAAGCUGGACGAGGCAGCCGGACCCGUCUGCGCUCGAGCAUGGAGACGGAGCGCCUGGGAGGGCACGUCCGGGGCGCUGGAGACGCCAGGCCCGAGUAGCUCCUCCAUGGAGCCUGCCCAGAGCUGUCCCUUCUCGCAGGAUUCGCCCCAAGUCCUGUGCGGCUGCUGAGAGCGCUCCUUGCUCUGUAAAGUGGAUGUCAGGUGGAUCUAUGUUUCUGAAGGAACAAAGACUCAAAGAAGGCACCGCCAAGGAAGUUUGAGACGCGGGAGAAUGCAGGCUGCGUGCUGGUACGUGCUUUUCCUCCUGCAGCCCACCGUCUACUUGGUAAGUCUUGGAGGGUUCGGGGCUUUCGCAUUCUUACCCCGGCCGGGAGGCAAGGAAACUGGGAACACGCGGGAGAAGGGUUACGCCGCCAGUUCAGCGAGAGCAGCUUCCUAGCAGCUGUGUUGGAGCAACUUUGGCAAGCUGGUCUCUGGAUUCCUGCGGAUUUUCCGGGGUUCCCACCCCAUUUUCUGCUCCAAUCCCCCAGUCUCCUGCGCGUGAUUCUUGAAAGAGGCUAGGGCGCCCCAGACACCCUAAACCCAAGGAGGUAGUGAGAUGGGGUGCUUUAUGUGAUAGAGGGCCAACGAGAAGAAGUGGAAGGCAGGAACUCUCAGUAGCUCAUGCACAGAGUUUAAACGAAGGGAAGUGGGGGUGUAGUUGGGUGGUGGAAAGAACAAAUCUGCCCAGGUCUGUGAGUUUAAAAGUGAAUCUACCCACCCACUUCCCCGAUUUGGAGAUGAGACACAUAAAGAAGCGCAGUUAACUUUCUUUGACUUGUAAGGGUUCCGAUAGGAUAAGUUUAACUAUCAGGGGUACUGCAAGCAAUCGGAGUUAGGUCAGAGAUACUCCAGCAAACAUGUCCACCUUCCUCUCGUCUCGACCUCCCCUUUUCAUCAAAUAACUAAAUCCCAUCUCCAGUGACUAGUCCAUUAUUAGGGAAUGGUAGGCCUUGUCGCCAGGGAGAGUAUUCUAAACAAAGCCGCGGUCCUUGUCCUUCAGUAGCAGAGUUUUCCGGGGGGCUGGACUUUGUACGCUGCUGGAACUCGGUUCCUGGUUGAAGAGCUUUGUUGUGGUGAAUUGGAAGCUGUUUGUGCCAUGUUGAGACAAGGAGAAUGAGAUAUUUCAGGUCUG
ensembl:lincRNA